rfam:Aedes aegypti strain Liverpool supercont1.616 genomic scaffold, whole genome shotgun sequence.
GGCUCGGUAGCUUAGUUGGUAAAGCGCUCGUCUAGCAUACAAGAGUCCUGGGUUCAAGUCCCAGCCGAGCAC